rnacentral:rRNA from 1 species
GACAGAGGGUGCAAACGUUGUUCGGAAUUACUGGGCGUAAAGCGUGUGUAGGCGGCCUUAUAAGUCGGAUGUGAAAGCCCAGGGCUCAACCCUGGAAGUGCACUCGAUACUGUAAGGCUCGAGUACUGGAGAGGUUGGUGGAAUUCCCGGUGUAGUGGUGAAAUGCGUAGAUAUCGGGAGGAACACCAGUGGCGAAGGCGACUUUCUGGCCUGUUCUUGACGCUGAGGCGCGAAAGCUAGGGGAGCAAACGGG